GACAGUUUUUCCAAAUGAUUCUGGAGCGAUUGGAUAAAAAAAAAAUAUUUUUUAGAUACUUUCUGCUAAUUAUACGCUUAAGUGAUUUUAAUUAAUUGUGAUUAUUGUAUGGUUUUCCAAACUCUGAAAAGUUUUUUCCAAAUAUUUCCAAAUGAUUUCCAAACGAUUGGAUAAGAUAAUUUUCAAUAAUUUUUAAUUUGUUUGCCAACUAUACGUCGGUCAUGACUUGACAUGAGUGCAACAAGUGUAAAUACACCACGCAUCAUGAUUCCUUUAUGAUGCAUCGCAUGAAAGAUCAUAACGAGGAAAGAACAGCUGACGAACACAUCUUCGAGAGCUAGCAGGAAAGUGAAAGACAUAGUUACAACAAAGUGAAUGACUUGGAGAACAA
rnacentral:lncRNA from 13 species